rnacentral:rRNA from 1 species
GAUUGCAUUUAAUUUAAUGUAGUUACUACUUAGUAGUUUAAANUUCUAGGUGGAAUUAUGAUGAUGACAUUAUCUAUCUAUUAGUCUUGACCAAAUUACGUGCCAGCAGUCGCGGUAAUACGUAGAAGACAAGUGUUAUUCAUCUUUAUUAGGUUUAAAGCGUACCAAGACGGUUAAUAAAGCCCAAAAGAAAUGAAUACGGGGGACACAUUAACUAGAGUUAUAUGAAAGGAAGCUCUAAGGUACUGUUGAGUGUAGAGAUGAAAUUCGUUGAUACCAGAUGAUUGGCACAGAUUAAUGCGAAGGCGUCUUCUUAUGUAAUAACUGACGUUGUAGGACGAAGGCUUAGGUAAUGAACAGGAUUAGUUACCCCAGUAAUCUCGGCAGAAAAUGAUGAAUGUCAUAGGUUGAAUACAUGCGACAGGUUAAAUUUACUACUUAUUAUAAGGAGGUGGUAUUAUUAAUCAGUCGAAUGUCUAUUGUGUCUAUAAAUGAAAGUGUAAGCAUUCCACCUCAAGAGUAAUUUGGCAACAUUGGAACUGAAAUCAUUAGACCGUAUCUGAAACCAGUAGUGAAGUAUGUUGUUUAAUUAGAUGAUACACAAGAACCUUACCACAAAAUGAAUAUAUAUAUAUAAUAUAUUUACAAGCGCUGCACGGCUGUCUACAGUUAAUGUCGUGAGACUUUGGUUAGAUCCAUUAAAUUGACGUAAACCCUAAUUUUAUUUAUAAAUAAAAU